CAUCAAAACUACAUUUAUUAAUACACACACACACAGACAUGAAAAUUAGUUUGAGGCCGAGAAGUUUUAUGCUGUCGUUCUUCGUAACUUUUCCACACUUGCCGGUGGAGUUCCCAAAAGCUUCUUCAUAUCUUGCAUUUUUAUCAAUACGCUGUGCUUUCAGGACAGUUUAAUUGAGAUUAAUAUCAUUCUCAGCCUUGAAGCUAUAGUCAAUAUAAUAGGUACACAUUUUAAAAAUACAAAAUUCAAAUUUUUUAAUUAAAGUUAUGACGCGCUGUUUGGCAUUUUUGGUACAGUCCUGGCUUUGGUUAGUGGUACUUCCCAUAUUAGCUGAGAAGCCUUACAUACGAAGUACCGGAAAUUGCGACUACGCAAAAGACCUUAAGCUGAAUUUGGUUUGCCAUAGUUCGGUUACCGACAAUUUGGCGUGCCGUUGGCGUGAUUCAUUGGCGCCGAAGUAUACUAAAUAUUCGGUUUGGCAAACUCCUCCCAAUCAGCCAGGACUCUAUGUAAUUUUGGUGUCAUUCCAUUCAGAUUCAGAACUAUCGAUAGCCAAUGAAAUUUCUAUAGAUCCACAAAAAUAUAUGAUAAAAGGAAAGAAAUCCACA